rnacentral:lncRNA from 1 species
GUCUCACCUUCCCCACCAUUUCAGGACUAAAACUCCUCUCCUCCUCUCAUAUUCAUAUUUGCACUGCUUAUUAGAUUUAAUUCAUUUGUUCUUUCACAUAAAUCGUUUCAACUAAAGCUUCAGCAUGAGCAUCAACGGCAGAUCUUGACGGUGGCCGGUUGCCUUUAAAACACACAACUCUUCAUUAGUAAGCCGCAUAUUCUUCCGUUUACGUUGCUUUAAAAGUAGUCUUGCCCAUAAUCACCAAAUCAUGAAUGCUCGAUUGA